rnacentral:rRNA from 1 species
CGGUAAUACGGAGGAUCCAAGCGUUAUCCGGAAUCAUUGGGUUUAAAGGGUCCGUAGGCGGUCAGAUAAGUCAGUGGUGAAAGCCCAUCGCUCAACGGUGGAACGGCCAUUGAUACUGUCUGACUUGAAUUAUUAGGAAGUAACUAGAAUAUGUAGUGUAGCGGUGAAAUGCUUAGAGAUUACAUGGAAUACCAAUUGCGAAGGCAGGUUACUACUAAUGGAUUGACGCUGAUGGACGAAAGCGUGGGUAGCGAACAGGAUUAGAUACCCUGGUAGUCCACGCCGUAAACGAUGGAUACUAGCUGUUGGGAGCAAUCUCAGUGGCUAAGCGAAAGUGAUAAGUAUCCCACCUGGGGAGUACGUUC